rnacentral:rRNA from 1 species
UACGGGAGGCAGCAGUGGGGAAUAUUGCACAAUGGGCGCAAGCCUGAUGCAGCCAUGCCGCGUGUAUGAAGAAGGCCUUCGGGUUGUAAAGUACUUUCAGUCGUGAGGAAGGUGUUAAGGUUAAUAACCUUAGCAAUUGACGUUAGCGACAGAAGAAGCACCGGCUAACUCCGUGCCAGCAGCCGCGGUAAUACGGAGGGUGCGAGCGUUAAUCGGAAUUACUGGGCGUAAAGGGCACGCAGGCGGUUAAUUAAGUUGGAUGUGAAAUCCCCGGGCUUAACCUGGGAAUGGCAUUCAAGACUGGUUAGCUAGAGUCUUGUAGAGGGGGUAGAAUUCCAUGUGUAGCGGUGAAAUGCGUAGAGAUGUGGAGGAAUACCGGUGGCGAAGGCGGCCCCUGGACAAAGACUGACGCUCAUGUGCGAAAGCGUGGGGAGCGAAAC